rnacentral:rRNA from 1 species
AGUGAACGCUGGCGGCGUGCCUAAUACAUGCAAGUCGAACGGACAAGUAAGAGCUUGCUCUUAUGAGUCAGUGGCGCACGGGUGAGUAAUGUAUAGCUAAUCUGCCCUACACUAGAGGACAACAGUUGGAAACGGCUGCUAAUACUCUAUACUCCUGUCUUACAUAAGUUAGAUAGGGAAAGUUUUUCGGUGUAGGAUGAGGCUAUAUUGUAUCAGCUAGUUGGUGAGGUAAUGGCUCACCAAGGCUAUGACGCAUAACUGGUCUGAGAGGAUGAUCAGUCACACUGGAACUGAGACACGGUCCAGACUCCUACGGGAGGCAGCAGUAGGGAAUAUUGCUCAAUGGGGGAAACCCUGAAGCAGCAACGCCGCGUGGAGGGUGACACUUUUCGGAGCGUAAACUCCUUUUGUUGGGGAAGAAUAAUGACGGACCUAACGAAUAAGCCCCGCA